rnacentral:sRNA from 1 species
UAAGGACGGUCGACUUCGGCGGGACCCAGGUGAGAAAGGCCCACCUGUGUCCUGGUUGAGGGUCUCCAGGGUUCUUUGGGGCCCGAGGCCAAUGGUGGCAGAGUCUACAUAGAACUAUGCUUCGUGGUGUUCUGGGGAAAACCUUUCGACUUGUUGGCUAUACUAUUCAAUAUGGCUGUAUAGCUCAUUGUGCUUUUGAAUACGUUGGUGGUGUUGUCAUGUGUUCUGGACCAUCAAUGGAGCCUACAAUUCAAAAUUCAGAUAUUGUCUUUGCAGAAAAUCUUAGUCGACAUUUUUAUGGUAUCCAAAGAGGUGACAUUGUGAUUGCAAAAAGCCCAAGUGAUCCAAAAUCAAAUAUUUGUAAAAGAGUAAUUGGUUUGGAAGGAGACAAAAUCCUCACCACUAGUCCAUCAGAUUUCUUUAAAAGCCAUAGUUAUGUAUUUGGAAACUAAGCGGUCCCUAUUAAGAUGCUGUUGCUGGCCGGCCACGGUGGCUCACACCUGUAAUCCCAGCACUUUGAGAGGCCAAGGCGGGCAGAUCACCUGAGGUCAGGAGUUUGAGACCAGCCUGCCCAGCAUGGCAAAACCCUGUCUCUGCUAAAAAUACAAAAAAUUAGCCAGGCGUGGUGGCAGGCGCCUGUCAUCUCAGCUACUUGGGAGGCUGAGGCAGGAGAAUCGCUUCAACCCGGGAGGCGGAGGUUGCAGUGAGCCGAGAUCACGCCACUGCCGUGCAGCCUGGGCAACAAGAGCAAAACUCCGUCUCAAGAAAAGAAAAAAAAAAAAAAGAUGCUGUUUGCUUUGCUUAUUUUGAAGGUACUGAAGCCAAUAAUCCUUUCCUGGGGUUAUGUAUGAACUGAGCAUUGGCUACUGUAAAGAUAUGAGAUUAAUUUGUGACUCUCAAAAGAAACAAAUUGUCAUAAGCUCAGACAUCUUGAGUAUGUUGCCUUUCUGUAUAUUCUGCAGGAAUUCCUCAGUUUGCUGCUAGA